CUUCGCCACAAACCUAGCAUAAUCCAGAUCAAGCGAUGACGGUUGACGCUACCCAGAACACCCGUUUACUUCAAUAUUUUCUUCGGGGGAAGCAAUGCAAACAUUCAGCCUAUUUUAGGCUCGAUCGUAUAACUGCCCACUGUCGAUUGGUAUGACACGAUAUCAGGUCUUCCCUUCCGCCGUAACAACGACCGUUACACAUGGAUGCAGCACGGUCGGACUUCCGAACUUGCAGCGAGGACUUACAAGAACAUUCCAAACCGCUGUAUAAAACAUUGAAAAGGAUCAUGAAGCUAUUUAACAUGGAAGAAAAAAAGACCCGUACAUAAGCCAGUGCAACAUUGUAGGCAAUCUAUUUGAUAAGACAUGACGAAUGUGAGCACAAUCUCCAGUUACUGAUAGACUCGAACCGGAGCUCCCACUAACUGAAUACAUCGAAGAUCAGUAGAGCGAAGAGCUGCCCGCGUUCGACAUCCUGGUUGAAACAAAUACGCUUACCAAAUAUCUGGGAGCGUUAUCGCUCUUCAUAAGCGCUGCAGAAACCUGCAUUAAUUUUAUGCAUAUUUCUAGUGCAUCUACCUCGGGAAGGCGUAUAUGGGCAAUCAACGAUUGAAAGGAAUAUAUUUACUAUUCACUCGAGCGGCUACGAGGAUUUUGUUCGUGCGACUCUAACUGCCCAAGGAAACGCUGCAGGUCGUGGAGCUCUAUACGAUAAUUACACUGAAACCGAGUGUAAAUCAAAUUAUACGGUACUUCCAAACUAAGAAGUAGCUGCACCACGUGCAUUCGGCGUUAGUUAAAUAGGUUCCCUACCGAAUCGAAUUCUUCGACCUAACCGUGGGCGACCCGCAAAACGGAUUUCAGAAACUACUCAACUGCUCGGGCGAAGAGUGUCGCUUCUUCCCAUAAACAAUCAACUACGCAGCAUCAUAUGUUGUGAAACAUAUGACCUACAUUUAGUGAAGUAAUGAUUACAAUUUAAACCAGAAAAACGUAAAUCGUAGGAUAAAAAAACACGUAGCAAAAGAGCAGUAUUCUCAGGCAGUGUCCAAAUGGGCCUUUCGGACUGAGAAUUCUAAAGUUGUGCCUAUUCCGUCAUUUCUUGUUUUAAUGAAUCAUAGGUUAGUCUUGUGUGUGGGGAUGCAGCGAUAGUGCGAGGAAACACUACGAUACUGGUGUGGGGUCGAAUCUCGAGUCGGCACCCUCCGGUAUUACGAACGGGCUGUUCGCCGAUUCCGUCUUUUAGUUACAGAAACUCUCUUCGGAGAGAGGCCUGGUCCCCCACUAGGGAUUGUCGUACCACAUAAAAUAAAGGGUAGUCUUGUUUUAAUGAAUCAUAAGGUACUUCAUGUACAAAAAUAUUCUCAUCAGGUGGAAUCGAUGUAAUGAACUAGUAAAAUAGUGAAUAAAACGAGAAACAGCAAAAUAUUAUGAA